AUGCAUGAUCCAAUGGUCCAUAUCGCAUGCCAGGCAUGAUCCAAAGGCUAAAAUCAAAGCCAGAUUAAUUAGGACUCUAAUCUGACUGUAAUUGAGCUCUAAUCGGCAAGAUCUGGGUGGUUGGAUGCUAAUCGGAUGAUCAUAAGACUUCUACGCGAUCCAAACAUGAUCUGUAUGCAUUUUGGAUGCGAUUAUCAUAGAAAAUUCUCCCCUAUUUAAGGAGAAGGCCAUGGGU
rnacentral:lncRNA from 1 species